AAAUUUUAACUAUCUAAAAAUCUCAUUAUUUAUUUAUUUUUCCUUCGGAAAGAGCUGUAUAGAGCUGAUUAUGGUAUGAGAUGAUUGCAAUUGAUUGAUACUUUUAUUAGCAAAAAGGGAAAAUUGGUUGAUAUUUUUUUGGGCAUAUACUUACAUUAUUUUACCGAGGGUAGACAAAUGCCUUGGCACUGUAGAUAUUACAGUGGGUGGGAUUCAUAUGGAUUCCAUUCUUGCUUUAUCCCAUUGCUUCCUACUGAAGCUGGUACUGUAGGAACCUCAACAAGGUAAGACAUGGGUUACUUCUUGCGUGUGAAGAUAUCUUUAAUUCUUUCUUUGAGUUACAUGGUAAAAUAGAUGUAGUUGGACUUGAGAAAUGUAAAUUUCUUUAACUCCCAUUUGAUUUUUCAAAAUGAUUUUAUUCAAGUUACUAGUUACAAUUAGCCACACAACUUUUUUAUGCCACGAAUCUGAGUCUGAUUUUAUGUACUGAUUUUCAGGUUUAUGUAAUUUGUAAAUAUUAGUUGAUUUCAUCCCCUCCCCCGCUGAAAAAGAAAUCCUGGCUCCAUCCCUGGACAAACUCCUAAUUUUUUCUCCCACAUUGAUUAGUAAUUAGAUCUCAUUUCAACUACAUCAAUACAUUGUUUUGGUCCUUUUAAGAAGCUCUAAAAUUGCUUUCAAUUUUCUCCUUGAAAGAAAUGAGAAAACGGUGGCCAAGAUGAGGUUAAGGAUCCCUAGAUUGGACCGUAUGUUAUUGAUUUUUCAAAUUUAGAAUAUAUACCCAUUCACUCAUGAUAGGUAGCGUGGAUCUCAAUUUUUUUUUUUUUUUUUUUUUUGAGGGAUACUGAAGAAAGGAAAACCAAGUGGUCCAUUUUUUUUUUCUUUUUUUUUGAUAAGUAAGAUUUUAUUGAAAACGCUCAAAAGGGGAGCGGAACCCAAAGAAACACAAGGGCCAAAGGGCACCUUAGACCUUCAAAGAGGCCAAAAAAACAAUAAUCUCCUCUGUAUAUCUAUAAUCCCUCCUUGAUACCCAACAAAAAGGAGUGGAAAUAAUAGAGAACUUAAGCAUAGAAAUAGGUUUCUUCUUUCCAAAAAAGAGUGGUCCAUAAAAUGAAUAAUGGGCAUUGCCUUUACUUUGUGCCUUUUUUAUAUUGCACUUACAUUUGCCUUUCCAUUAGAUAAAUCUAUUUGCAGACUAAGUUCUUGAUAAAAGUAGUUUUAGCGUACUUAGAUAUUUGCUUAGUGUUGUUUUUAAACAAGUUAAUCCAAAAAAUCUAUAUAGUCUUUACUUCUUGUUUAUUUGAUUAUAUUAUUGUGUACUUCUUUUUUAUUCUUUUCGCAAUCUUUUAAUUGGUUUAUGUUUGAGUAGAAUUUUUUUCUCAAAUCUAUAGUUUGCCAAAAGACCCAUUCACCCCCCUUCCCCUUGGGUCAUUUUUUUUUAGGAAAAUUUAUUAGUGCUUAAAAUUAGAAAUAACUGUUUUACAUUGAUUUUAUUCUAUAUUACUUGUAGGUGUAAGAUCCUUUUAAUCAUUAAAAUUUGAGAUAUGUGGGUCACGGAUAAAUGGUCAAAGAAAUCUUGAAAUAAUUGUUGUAUAGUGGUUUUUAAAAUAUGAAAUAAAAGUAAGAAUAAAAAUGAAAAAAAAAAAAAAAAAUUAUUGAGCAAUUGUAAGAAUAAGUAUUUUAAAAGUAAUUAUGGAAAAAAUGUAAAAAUUUGUGGGCAAAAUUGCAAUUAUAACUUUUUAAACUUAUUAAAGAAAUGUUAGGGCAACCAACUUUUAUUAUUUCUUUCUCUUCUUCGUUUUCAUUUACUAUUGCGCCAAGUAUGAGGGAUAAAACCCUAGCCCUAAUUUCUUAUUUGAUAGCCAGAAAGGCAUUAUGGCAACCAUUUUCAACCUCGACCAAUAUGAUUUUCGAGUGGAGGACGUUCAACAAAGCAUGUUUUGGCUCUUGUAGUGAUUAAUCACUACAGAUAGGUUAAUAUUUCUUUAAUUCUUCUGUAUCUUCCCUUCUUCAUGAACUUUUUCUUUCGCUGUGGUCUUGUUUAGUUCAUUCUUCCUUCUAUUUAUUAUUUAGAUUUGUACCCUUUUUUGUUGGAGCCUUUGGAAAGAGCGGAAUAGAAGAUCUUUUGAUGGGAAGGAGUUCUCCAUUGGAGUGCUGAAAUUUUCUAUUAUUUGUACCCUUUUUUGUUGGGGUUGGGGGAGAGAUUUUUCUUCUUUUGAGGAUAUUGUGGACUUUUUGAGUUCAUAGGUUUUGUUUUUGUGUAAAGCUUGGAAUGCGUUCCCCUUUUGAACGCUUUCUAAUACAUUUUACUUAUUAAAAAAAAAAAAAAAUUAUUUAGAUUUUUCUGAAUUCUUUAUCGGUAUUCUAGGGCAAGGCGUCGAAUCCUGCAGACAAAAUUUCUAAUUUUCUACAAUGGAAUUUAAACUCUUGUCUCCUUACAUAGAGGAGACGAUCAAAUUGUCUUCACAACAAUUUUGAAACGAAAUAGAAGAACUUUGCAAGAGAAAAGGAGAAUUUGCAAAGAAUUGCAAAGCAAAUUUUAUUUGCUGUAAAAAUAAUAAUAUCCUCAACUAAAACUGUUCAAACCCUGGAAAUUACAAUGAUUUAUAUAGAAUUUCUUCCUCCCCAAUCCUAGCCUUAUAUUAGUUAACUAUCAUAUAUAAAAUAAAACCAAAAUAGGAAAGUUGCUGAACACAGACUAAGGAAAAUUUCAGAAUAUGAAAAGUUUCUAAAAAUCACAAAUUCCAUUGUAGAAAACUAGGAAUUCUGUCUGCAUCAUAACAUAGAUUAUAUUCUAGGUAAAACAUAUAAACCGGCCAAUCUUUAGUAGGUAAAAUAGACACUAAAUAGUUGAUGCAUUUCAUUUGACCCGUAUCUUCAAUCUAUGAUAUUGUCGAAAACUAAAGAAUUUUCAUUUGAUGCAUUCAUUGUUGAUAACUUUUGUACUUGGAGCGUCAGCGGUGCUUUUUGUUUGUUUUGUUGCGGAGUAGUUGAUUUCCAUUUUGCCUUGAAGUUGCGUGGUAGGUGGUUGUCUAGCCCUAGGUCUUCUUUGCUCCUUAACUGAUCUAGUUUGGAUUAGAUUAGCCUUAUUUAUUUAUUUAUUUUUCAGAGAAGGCCUAGGGCUGGAGGAAAUUUAGUAGAAACUUUGAACUAAAUUUCUUGUAAUUUCAAAUCCAAACUGUUGAUUCAGUACUCCCAAACACAACAUAAGGUUCAUUUAUAAGUUAGCUUCCAAAAGAAGCUUUACUCUUUGCUACCAACACACACACACACACACACACACACACACAAAAUGAUAUCUUUCUCAUUGGUGGGCAAUAGAUUUUCUCCACACCAAGUAUUGUGACUGUUGGAUGUAAUCGAGCGGUCAUAUUGCAAACCCACCUUUCCCUUUUCUAAUCCAACAAAACCACUUUUUUACUUAUUUAUUGUUUCCCAACCACUUUUCUUUUAUGUAAAGUUUCCUAAAUUAACAUUACCAAAGUUAGUGUUCAACGGAUCUCUGGUGAGUAGAGAGUUGUAUACUCACUUUUAUUAGUGGCCUUAGGAUCUAAUCUGACGGACAACCUUUUUUCCACUGUCUUUUAGGAAACUUAAUAAUUCUUUCAAUUACCAUCCAAUUGAAAUGACAAAAGUAGACACUCCCUUAAAAGAAACAAAAAUAAAAAUAUUUUAUAACUAAUUUCGGAAAUUGAACACUCUGGAAUCAAAUAAAAAAUUAUCAAGUCUCUUCUACCCAGAAAAUAAAAUUAGAGAUUAUUGUGUACUUUGUGCGAAGAAAAGAGAGAAAAAAAAAAUCUGAAUUACAAGAAUUACACUAAAAAGACUUCUCUGAAUUACACUGAAAAGAGUUCUCUUAAUUACACUAAAAAUACUGUCACCCAGUUUCGAUGCCAUUCCACUAAUAAUUACAAGAAUUUGUGGUUGAGGUUUUGGUGGUUAGGGUUCUUUUAAGAUAUUGUGUUCUUUAAACCUAAUUCUAAACUACGUUUUUUGGGCACAUGAACAAUAAAGGUUAGAGAUGAUACAGUCCUAGAGAUUACAAUCACAACACAUGACUUCAUAUAAAAAAAAAAAAAAAAAGGUCCGAUUAACAAUGAACUGAGAAAAAAGAAGUACCAGCAUGCUGUCAAACUUAAAUAAUUUUAAACCAUCUUAGACUUUAAUUGAUUUUCUGUCAAACUUAAAUAAUUUUACAGGCCUAGAAACCCCACGUUCUUUCCUCUUUUGUUUUGUUUAGGGUUGCGAUGUAUAGGACUUGACUUUUUUUUCCCUAAUUUUCUUCUGCUUUAUACAAGGACUGUCAUACAUGAAGGGGAGUCAAACCUAUAUUACAUAUAAAUUAGAGUUCCACAAAGAUUAGAGGAGUCAGAAUGUUUCUUAUGCAACAAAAAAACAAAAAUCAAAUCUUGAAAAUUGUAUUUAAUUGUGAUCCUAAUUGAUAAAAAAAUAAAAAAAUUCAAAUCUGAAAAAUGGCUUAUAUCUUAUAAUACACACACAACCCGUGUUUUAUUUGAUUCCGAAUGUUCAAUUGACAAAUUUAGUAGCAAAAUAUUUUUAUUUUUGUUUCCUUUAAGUGGGUGUCUACUUUUGUCAUUUUAAUUGGAUGGUAAUUGAAAGAAUUAUUAAGUUUCCUAAAGACAGUGAAAGAAAGAUUGUCCGUCGGAUUAGAUCCUAAGGCCACUAAUAAAAGUGAGUAUACAACUCUUUACUCACUAGGGAGCAGUUGAACACUACUCUGUGUGUGUGUGUGUGUAUAUAUAUAUAUACAUAAAUGAUAUCUUUCUCAUCGGUGGGCAAUAGAUUUUCUCCACACCAAGUAUUGUGACCGUUGGAUGUAAUUGAGCGGUCAUAUUGCAAACCCACCUUUCCCUUUCCUAAUCCAACAAAACCACUUCUUUUACUUAUUUAUUAUUUCCCAACCACUUUUCUUUUAUUUAAAGUUUCCUAAAUUAACAUUACCAAAUGUUUUUUCAUAAGAUUAAUCACUAUUUGGAUUCGAGAGACUUUUCAGCCCCAAUCAACUUUCAAUAAAUAUUGUUAUCAAUGGGUCUAAAGGAUGUCCUUCCAUCUCCUUUUUUCCUUUCAAAAAAAAAAAAAAUCAUAUUAUUUCGAGAACUCAACAAAUUUGAAGAAUAUCACAAUGAUUUCUAAGAAAAUGAUCAAUUUUUGGUAGAUCACUAUUUUAAUCAAAACAUACAUUAAGAGAGAUAUCAAUUACUAAAUAGUACCUCGCUUAGAGGUAUAUAAAGGUCAAACCUUUCAUACAAUAACAUAAAAAUGAUACUGAACCAUAAAAGUAGGUGAUCUCAAGCCCUGCUUGUAUAACGAUCCAGAUUCCAUUUGUAGCCAUUUUUCAAAUUUAUGUCAGAUAAGCAUAUCAACAAAAAUCAACAAAUUUUUUAAUUAAUCCCUCCUCUGAUAAGUGUACAAACAAAAAUCAAACUCCCUUUGAAACUUAAAUCACCAAGUUCCUCUCUUGUAGAAUAUAUGUUGUUGUUACUGAAAUCACGAGACAUUGAAUGUGAAGGUAGGUUGAAGAUCGAUUGUUGGAAUCUAAAGUUGCGAAGGAGAAAACGAUGUAGACGAGUUUGGGCCUAUCCAAUCCCGAGCUUGUCAAGAUACGGCCGAGCUGAGCCCAAGCUCGCCCUAGCCAAGUUUGUGCGAUUUCGAACCAAGCCUCAAGAACAACCCAGAGCUUGGCUUGGCUUGGUUUGGUUCAUUUGCAGCCCCAAAUGUGGUAGCUCACAUCAUGAAUUCUCCUUCUCUUUCCUUUUCUAUUAGACACCACUCAUCCUUUCAUAUUUUAUUUUUUAAAGUUAUUUCUAUGUAUUGCAUCCCAUAUUAAUUAUGGUCAGCCUCCUUGUCUCUUUCCUUCGAUGGAAACUCAAUUUUUUUUUCAUUAGUGCAUCCACAAGUCGAUCUUAUUUUAUACACUUACCACUUAUGUAGUACCCGGGAUUUUAGUAAAAUAAUUUUUAAGGUUAGAAUGUUCACAUAGAGGAUCUAAUGAACUAGAGAUUGAACGUUAUAGUUGGAUACGUAUGUGAACUAGUUAUGCUUAUUAGAGAAAUAAAGUCAGAUGGGUUAUUGUGUACAUGGACCACCCAGUUUCAAAUAGUUGUUAUGGGGGUUCCCAUAGAAACUUUGAUAAUAAUUAAUUGUUAUUUAUUUAAUAGUAGGGGUGGAAGAAAGUUAAUGAAAAGUGUAAGGCAUGCACACUCACCUCUUAAUUUAAUACAAGUGGCUUUGGGCAUACCAUAGAUCUACAAGUGGAUUUGCGUAUGCCAAUAAUGGCAACACCUGUCCAUGAUAGUUAAUAAAAAGUGUUAGGCAUGCACACUUACCUCUUAAUUUAAUACCACGUGUAAAAUUAUCAUGGACAAGUGUUGCCAUUAUUGGUAUGCCCAAAGCCACUUGUAGAUCUGCAACUUUUACCUUAAGGUCUUGUAGGACAUCUGUAGCUAUGCAUGCGAGUAACGAGUACAGAUGUUCAUCACAUUGAUAACAUCUGUAGCUAUGCAUGCGAGUAACGAGUACAGAUGUUCAUCACAUUGAUAACAUCUGUAGCUAUGCAUGCGAGUAAUGAGUACAGAUGUUCAUCACAUUGAUUCAUAUAGAAAGCCUUGGGUCUCUGCAUCGAAUACAAUAGCAACUUUCGGCCAAAACAAGGGGAAAAGGGGAAAGAGAAAGAGUUGUAGCAUAGAUUGGAUUGGCAAAGAGGAGGAAGGAGAGUAAAGAGGCAAAUCGGAAGAAAACGUGGAAGACAAGUUGGGAAAAAGGGCUCAAAGGAAGUGGCAAUUCGAGCAGAUGGGGCUAACAAACAUAAUUGUUAUUUGAGGAUGUCAGUCCUCAACUUAUUUGUACUAUUCACUUUCGCUUUAUCUCCAUCCAAUGCGUAUGAGGCCAAGAGCAUAGUUACUGGUGCCUCUUACCACAUGGUCUACAUUUUGAGAAUGGAAAAGAACUUCCAGAUAACCAAUAGGGAAAGGCUCACUGAAACGAGUGGAAUCGGAAAUGAGGUUACCCAGGAAUGACUGAUUUCCUAAUAUCCGGGCUUUAUAAAUGGGAUGGUGAUGCACAUAAAUUCAGUAAGAGCAAGCCUUACAUUGAAGUAGUGACAUCCCCAAACAACCCAGAUGGUUUUAUAAGGGAACCUGUGGUAAAUCGUAAAGAUGGAAGAGUGGUUCAUGAUCUUGCUUACUACUGGCCACAAUAUACUCCAAUUUCUUCUCCUGCAGACCAUGAACUCAUGAUGUUCACUGUCGCCAAAGCCACAGCCACAGCCACAGACCAUACCGGGAUGCACAUAGGUUGGGCUCUCGUUAAGGAUGAAGAUCAUGAAGAAGAUGCCAAAAAAAAAAAAACUGGUAAAAUACAUGGAGCUCAAUAGUAUUGGCGUAUCAAAAGAUUCACAGCUUCGAGCCACAAAGAUUCUGCAAGCUGUGAUUGAUAGUUAGGACCAUACUGGCAUCCCUGAAGAAGGUGAAACCUUAUUUGAGUAUGGUUUUAACCUUAUGGCAGAAAGGUGAAAGACACUCAGGGCGGUAGUAAAACAGAACCCCAUUUUUAGCUUGCCUCUCUAUUCUACUGGGUUGUGCAGCUUUAGUGGUCGAACUUUUGAACCACAACCAGGUAAUUUCAGAUGCACACAGAUCACGCGCUCUGUAAGCACGGACACACUGUGAAAGCUUAAGUUUGGUGUUAGUCCAAAGUACGUAACAAUUAGCAUGGUGGAUCAUGAUAAUAUUUUUGAUCUCUUUGCCUGAAAGAUGGUAACUUAGAGGAGGGAAGAAGUUUGGUGUUAGUCCAAACUACAUAAGAUUAACGAUCCAUUUCACCAUAUGGUAUAAUAUUGUUCGCUUUGGGCCCGAGCCGGCACGGUUUUGUUUUUAGGCUUUAUCCCAAAAGGUCUCAUAUCAAUUGGAGAUAACACUAGUAUAUAUAAGCACUUUACCUUUCUCUUAUCCAGGCGAUGUGGGAUUGUGCACCCGUUAGCUCACCCGGUGUGGUAGCCUAUCAGUGCCUCGCACUCAUACACGGCACACUCAUUCACAAGGUCACCACAAAUUAUCCAUAAUUAAUCCUCCCAUAGCACUCCCAAUGUGGUCUUCAUGUAAAUAAAUUUGUUAAUAUUUUAUAUAAUUUUUUAUAUCUUUUGUACAAGCUCAUAUUAUAUAUAGAUUUCUAUUUGUAUGGGAUUUUAAGAGGUCAUUUUAAUUUUAGAAAGAAAUAUCA